rnacentral:rRNA from 1 species
AUUGAACGCUGGCGGCAUGCCUUACACAUGCAAGUCGAACGGCAGCACGGGUGCUUGCACCUGGUGGCGAGUGGCGAACGGGUGAGUAAUACAUCGGAACGUACCUUAUCGUGGGGGAUAACGCAGCGAAAGUUGCGCUAAUACCGCAUACGCCCUGAGGGGGAAAGCGGGGGAUCUUCGGACCUCGCGCGAUUGGAGGGGCCGAUGUCAGAUUAGCUAGUUGGUGGGGUAAAGGCCUACCAAGGCAACGAUCUGUAGCUGGUCUGAGAGGAUGAUCAGCCACACUGGGACUGAGACACGGCCCAGACUCCUACGGGAGGCAGCAGUGGGGAAUUUUGGACAAUGGGGGCAACCCUGAUCCAGCCAUUCCGCGUGAGUGAAGAAGGCCUUCGGGUUGUAAAGCUCUUUCGGCAGGAACGAAACGGCGAGCUCUAACAUAGCUUGCUAAUGACGGUACCUGAAGAAGAAGCACCGGCUAACUACGUGCCAGCCGCCGCAGUAA